rnacentral:rRNA from 1 species
GACGUAGGAGCCAAGCGUUAUCCGAAUUCACUGGGCGUAAAGCGCGUGCAGGCGGCUUGGUAAGUUGGAUGUGAAAUCUCCUGGCUCAACUGGGAGAGGCCGUUCAAUACUGUCAGGCUAGAGGGCGACAGAGGAAAGUGGAAUUCCCGGUGUAGUGGUGAAAUGCGUAGAUAUCGGGAGGAACACCAGUGGCGAAGGCGACUUUCUGGGUCGCACCUGACGCUCAGACGCGAAAGCUAGGGGAGCGAACGGG